CAAAUAUUAUUGAUGCUAAAUUGUAUCAAAACAAAACACACCAUCCUAUAAAAAUAAUUAAGGAUGGUGUUACUGGUGCGAGGCGUGGUUCAGGACGAACCACCGCCGGACACGAGGACGCUGUACCUCAACCAUCCGGUACUGCGAGAUUCCGCAUCACAACUGCUCACCAUCUCUACAAAAGUAGUUGGGCCCAUAGGGCUCCUUUACGUGUGCCAACGGGAGAUGGCUGUGACCGUACCGCAUGACAAAAACGUGUCGAUUAUUGGUUCUGACGACGUUACCACUUGUAUCAUUCUCGUACUCCGACAUACCGGUUCCGGAGCCGUGGGAUUCGCUCAUCUAGACGGUUCGUGUACUGAGGAAUGUGUGGUGAACAUGGUGCACAGGAUCCAAGAACUGUCCAUGGGCUUUCCGGACGGCCGGCUGGAAAUGUCUCUGAUUGGUGGAUUCACUCACGUGUUACGUUAUAGCGAACAAGUGUUUUAUAGUCUGAUGGUUGCAGUUCACAAACAUCAAACCGAAAUCGAACUUGUGCUUGCGUGUGUUGGAGAACUUAACACUAUUAUGCGAAACAACGUCCACUGGCCAUUGCUUUAUGGAGCUGGAGUUAUGGUCAAGAGCGGUGAAGUAUUUCCGGCUAACUUUCCUGACAAAGGGCCUGAACAACCCCUGAGACUUGCUCGACUGUUUACAGGCCUGCAACCAGUGUUGGAUGUGUAUGACUGCAGCUUGGGUCUUUUAAGAAUCGGACCGUUUAACUACGAACCCAUGCGCAGUGUCGAUUUGUGGCUUCAGCAAUCCGAUGAAUUCAUCCUGCAAGCUUUGUCAACUACGCCCGACGUAGAACCACCGCACACAGUCAUGGCCAUACGAGCCUCUCUGAAAUAUGUUCAAGAUCAUCCAUUUCCGGCGGUUACGGUCUUCAGGGACAAUCGGCCAUUAUACUAUAGACGAGAUGAACACUCAGGCACGUGGACUCCAUUUCGAUAUUAAAGAAAUAUGAAUCUAUAACUCGACAAUCCAACGAUAAAAGUGUCAAAUGUUUGUAUGGCGUCAAUAGUUCGAACAUUCCAUUUCGUUUGCCCUAAUCUUGUGUUUUAUAAGCUGUUCAUUUUUAUUUUUAAGUGCCUUUAUAGUUAAAUUCGAUUUUUUAAAAGCUGUUUUUAUAAUUUUUAGAAACUAAUGGAGAACUUGAGAACAC
rnacentral:misc_RNA from 1 species